rfam:Xenopus tropicalis strain Nigerian Chr06_contig_3190, whole genome shotgun sequence.
GGCUCUGUGGCGCAAUGGAUAGCGCAUUGGACUUCUAGAUAAAUAAAGGUAUUCAAAGGUUGUGGGUUCGAGUCCCACCAGAGUCA